rnacentral:tRNA from 1 species
GUGACUCAGUGGUAGAGUGCUUGCCUUGCAUGCAUGAGACCCUAGGUUCAAUUCCUCAGC